UCGAGGAGGGAGUUGGUCGAGUUCUGCUGCUUUAGGCAUUUCAUCGAACACUUAGACGGCACGCGUAGGUCACCGUGGAACGGAAACGAUGGUGUGGAACUUCCCACCGACGCCGAAGCAGCUGGCGGCCACGGCGGGCGUGUUUGGGAUGGGCGUCGUGCUGAUCGCCGUCGGAUCAAACCUCUCCUACGCCAACAUUGCUCCCCAGCAAGCCCGCGCCGAGGCGCGCCGCCAGUUCUUUAAAGAGUACCUCCGCAAAAAGUUCGACCACUAGCCGACCUCCUCCUGCAGCACCCGCAUCCCCCUUUGGGUAUGCAAUGCAAAAAAUUAAAGAUUGUCAAGGUUUCUCAUGUUGCAGAUCCCCUGUUGAUUGAAGAGUACAACGUUCAUGGUCUGUCAGCUAUAAUACUCUCCAACGAUGGUAGGAAAAUCCAGCAAAUCAAGUGGAAAGUUCUAUGACAAAUAUUAAGCUAAAGAGAAUAUUUUGAAGUUCACUAGAUUCUACUACUGUGAUCUAAUCUUCUUAAAGUUUGAUGAAUUCCUUCAAAUGUUGAUUAAACAUUUUUUUAUUCUAAAUCCUCAACAAGAGAAAGUGGAUGGAUCUUGAGGAAUGAUUUCUUCCAGUGAACAGGAUGUUCCCUUCUACCGAAGCUAUUUAUGUCUUUUCCUACAUUGUAGUUAACUAUAUUUUUUCAAGACAAUAUGUGAAAUAUCUGUAUAUAACAUGAGCUUCUGUAUGAUCAUUGUUCA